rnacentral:tRNA from 1 species
GGAGGCGAUGCACCUGAUUACGGGCGACUGGAUCCGCAUCAAUCCGUUUCAAUCCACGCCUCCCGUUGCCGGGAGGCGAUGCCGUGAGUUCGAAUCUCACCGCUUCCGCCA